GGUGAAGUGCUCGAGUGGUCUAAGAGGCAGGAUUUAGGCUCCUGUGGUUAGUUCCGCGUGGGUUCGAACCCCACCUUCAUCA